UCAUUGGGUUUAUAUGAGACUUGGACACUAGUAAUAAUAACUGGGCUUAAGCAUUUUGGGCCGGUUGUUGGACCCAACGAGUUAUUAUUGCUAGUGGGCUGGGUCGUUACAUUUGGUAUCAGAGCCGGUUCACCAGCUGGACAUGUAUGGCGAGUCUCGGCUGAGCCAGGGUCUGGAUGACGGGCUAGCGAGACGAGUCUCACAUCGCCUGGUGUUCUUGGGCUGUGUAUGUGAUUGGACUGACGAGGACGUCAGAGCCUUAACGGGGGGAGUCUGUGACACCCCAAUAAUCCCACAUCGGAUGGGAAUAGGGUUGUCAUUGGGUUUAUAUGAGACUUGGACACUAGUAAUAAUAACUGGGCUUAAGCAUUUUGGGCCGGUUGUUGGACCCAACGAGUUAUUAUUGCUAGUGGGCUGGGUCGUUACAUUUGGUAUCAGAGCCGGUUCACCAGCUGGACAUGUAUGGCGAGUCUCGGCUGAGCCAGGGUCUGGAUGACGGGCUAGCGAGACGAGUCUCACAUCGCCUGGUGUUCUUGGGCUGUGUAUGUGAUUGGACUGACGAGGACGUCAGAGCCUUAACGGGGGGAGUCUGUGACCCCAAUAAUCCCACAUUGGAUGGGAAUAGGGUUGUCAUUGGGUUUAUAUGAGACUUGGACACUAGUAAUAAUAACUGGGCUUAAACAUUUUGGGCCGAUUGUUGGGCCCAACGAGUUAUUAUUGCUAGUGGGCUCGAUCGUUACAAUAAAAUAUUGUUACAUUCAAAUCUAAAGUUCCAAAAACCACUUCUAAACUAUAUUUCAUCAGUUUAUAUGAUUCUAAUGUCGUAAAUAAACAUAAAUCACUAUAAAGAUAUUUAAAAGCUUACCUGAGCAUCGUGAUUUAUACGUUGAGAUGUUUCUGAGUUCUCAGAAUCUCGGAUUCUCCAAUUAUGUCGUAAAUAAACAUAAAUCACUAUAAAGAUAUUUAAAAGCUUACCUGAGCAUCGUGAUUCAUACGUUGAGAUGUUUCUGAGUUCUCAGAAUCUCGGAUUCUCCAAUUUUCGACAAUCACGAAUCGAACCUUUCAAGACUACGACUCAAAUCACGAAACUUGCCAAUACAAAAUCCCUAACAAUCUCCGCAUUUGGCAAUUUCGUGACAAAACCCAAAAUUAGUUCACAAAUGAAAACCGAAAUUCAAUGUCAUCAUCAAAACAUCGAACCUCUCGCAUGUAAGAUCCAAAGUUACAUAUGAUCCAAAAUUACAUAAGAACUCCUAAAACAGACUCUAUGACUUACACACAACUAGAUGUCUAGAACUCUUGCGAUCCCUGCAAAACAAAUUCUCAAAACUAAAGUUAAAAUCAAAAGUUGUCAAACAUCUCCAAGCCUCCAACUCCUUCAUCGUCAAAAAUUCAAUUUCUCCUUUUUUUGUUCAACUCCCUUCUGUCCACCUAUGAUCUCCCUUUUUUUAUCAAAAAUUGCCAAAACAAAAUAUA
rnacentral:lncRNA from 1 species